rfam:Setaria italica strain Yugu1 chromosome VI, whole genome shotgun sequence.
CAACUGAAUUUGAGAAUUGGAUGGAACCAAAUCUUGUUGCGAGAGCGAAGCAAGACUUGGUUUCCUCCAAUAUCUCAUGUUCAGUUG